rnacentral:lncRNA from 1 species
GCCUUCAAUCACCACUUGAAAGACAUACUUUGUCUAAACCAUUGCCAACAUGUGUAGAUUAUUUGAUUAUCCCUCACAUUCACAUAUCCAUCUUGAUGGUUGUAUUGACUCAUUCACAAUCAAUAACUUUGAUUUUAAUUCAAAGAUAGAAAGCACCAUGUCUGUUGGCAAGACAAAGAAAACCAAACGUAGGACAUACAAGUUGAUGUUGGAGACCAUUCCAGAGGAAAGAGAGAUAUGUGUUGAUAAUAAUGACAAUGAUAUUCAUCCAGAAGAACUUGAAAAAACUUACACUCAUUUGGAAAUUGAUUUACAAGUAUUGAGGAAGUACUUCGAUAUGGGACUUUGUGUACUCUGCUUUAGCUUGGGUUACAUGGUUUCUACUAAAUUUCAUCCACGGCCCAAGUUUUCUUCAUUCUUGUAACAUAUGUAUGUAGCUGUAAAUAUUAGAAAUUUCAAUGACCUUAAGUUGUAAAUAUCGAGAAUAAAUUUAAAACUAUCUAAAUAAUGACAGUGGUGCAUUAUUUUGGAAUAUUUCAGAGAUUUUUAGAAUAGUUGGACAAACUUGAUUUUGUAUAGAAAUGACGUUUUCACAUCCAUCUACUCUAAAAAUCAGGCAUUGUUUGUGGUUGUAUCUUUCAAGUGUUUAUAUAUAAAGUAGUAAUAUAGACCUAUAAACAAAUUAGUACUUUUACUUUGUCUAAUGAUUCAUCGAAUGUAUAUUUGCUUGUACAACGAAGCAAAUGAGAUAUUAGAUUCAAUGGUCUCAAAAGUACACCAUUGAAGAUGCCAAAAAGUAUAAAUUUGUAAGAUAAAAACACCAAUGUUCAAUUGUCUAAAGAUAUUAAAGUUGAAAAUAUCGCUCUUUGGCAUGUUAAUUUUGUACCUAGGGGCUAGGAUUCUCACCAAGAAGCUGCUUGAAUCAUGGAUAGAUUACAGUCGUAAUUGAUUGCACAAAUAAUCAUGGAAAAAAGGAGUGUAAGAUUGCAAGGUCCUGGUCAAGGGCUUUGGCUUUGGCUUUGAGAAAAUUAGUUCAGAACAAGACUGACGACAAACUCUAAAAUUUCUAUGGAUGGCAAGGACAGUUGUUCCGAUACUUCAUCUCCAAACAAUGGCUGUUACCGCGCAGCCAACACAUGCGGCUUCACCAAUCAACAAUGCCAAUCUUCAAUGGAGAAAAUUUCUAAGGG